rnacentral:lncRNA from 1 species
UUUCAGUCUCUAUACGACUAUGUCUUCUGCAAUGAACAGUCUCCACAUCAAUUCAAACUUGUCUCGCAUUUUCCACGCAAAGUUUUUGAACUUGAUGAAAACAAUGACGUCACGUUAAGUGACGUAGGUUUGACCACGUCAGCAACACUAUAUGUCCAUGAUCUCACCGAAGAGAAUAGCAGCGAGGAAGACUGAGUACUAGUUAUGGCGGUUAAUAAUGAAAUCUGAGAAGUAAUAAACAGCGAGCCAUAUAUAGUCCAGUUGCUUCAAGAAGAAGAGCAUUGGCAGACCGGAUUAUAUAUAGAUCGUCGGGCUUGAUAUUGACCAUGAACUUCAAAAGAUGUGCAAUUUUUAAUUAAGGAUUCGUCUUUAUUUAUGGCGGGGGGUGGCACCGAAAAGAAAGGGGUUGGGUAAACAAAAUUUUGAGCGAGUAAAAGGUUGGGUAAAUGAAAAACAAGACUAAAGGGUUGGGUGAUAACAAAGUAUUGUCGUUUCCGAAGCAUGACUCACUGAAAUAUUGAAGAGUAAAAACCAGGGUCAACAGUCAUAUGUCAAUACAAUAUGUGAAUCAAUCAGAGUCACUAUCUUGACCAUUUUCCGAUUUGUCAGGAGGCAAAUGGUGUCUCCAAAGAAAGUACAUGUGAAGACAACGUGAAAUUGAAGACUGCAGAAAAUUGCACAAGCAGUUAUCAAACUCGUGGUCACAGAAGUGGUAAAGGACAUGUGUGACAACUGAGCGGUAUUCUUUUGUAAAGUUUUUGGCUAGGGGUAGGUAUUUAUUUUUAAAUUGAUAUUUGAGGUUGGGUAAAAAAAAUGACUUUUUAAUGGUUGGAUGAGGAAACUUUUUACCAACAAAAAAAUUUCUCUUCGGUGUCACCCUCACCAUAGAUAAUGACCGGACCCUUACGGGAGUUGCGACCUAUUGGAACAAGCGUCACUCGAUGGUGAUGAAUGACCUUUUAUCGAAAUGUUUCAGAGAGAAAACUGGACCAAAAUGUAUUAUUAUUGGAUUGAUGUUGUCGUUGUUAAUGUUAGAAUUAUUGAAAUAAAGCUGGGUUCUAGGAAACAAACAUGAAUGCUUGAUUAAAGUCUGUUUGCCGCGUUUAUAAACAAACAGAUUCUUCACCCAAGUUAAAGUCCAUGUGAUAUUCACGGGGCAAACUUUGCUGCAACUUCCAACAUUCCAAAAAGUAAUUUUUGGAACUAGUGACAGUGACAUGCUCAAAAAAUGAACCUGCAGUAUACGUCUAAAGGUUACAUGCAUAAAAAGUGUAACUAGUUUUCGUUGCAAAGUUACUUUAUCAUUUUUGUAACCAGUUAGAAAGUUACUUUUAUUUUUUUGUAACUUGUUGGAAGUUACACCUGGAGGUUUUAAUACAGUAAUUAUAUUAAGCCUGGUUCACAUAUGCCUGCGGCAUGCCUGCGACUGUAUCAAAGUUGAACUCAAGUCAACUUUCCCGGACUACCGCCCAUGCAACUGUAGCACUGGAGGCAAUCGGCGAACAAAUGUUCACAUAAUUUACGUUUUAAAGCUACCAUCGGCAUCGUCGCCGGUACGUCGCAGGCACGUCACAGGCAUAUAUGUGAACCAGGCUUUAGCAGUGAGUUCGAAUAGAUUACUGUAAAGACUAUAUGAUAACCCAACUUCAAGCCUGUAAAUAGGAGGGGAGUUAUUGUACACUGCAGCAGCUGAUCGACCACAUUAACAUAAUAAUUGUAGACAAGCUUGUUAAGAAGUUGUAACAUUGUUGUUUUUUCAUCAAGUUGCUACAAGAUUGUCACUCGCAACUUGUUGCUACAAGUCUGCUGUAGGUUUAAUUUGUUACAACUUGUGCGUUUUUACGUGUGUAGUUAUCGUUGCAGUUGUUACUGUCGAUGCAAUGGAAGUGUUGAUAAAAUAUUGCACCAUUCCUUUCCUCAAGUUGAUCAAUUCAUUUGAUAGAAAAUUGAUCAACUUCCUGUUACUUUUAGAUGAGCCAAUUAGAUUUCGUUUCAGAAUCGAUUGACCAAUAGGAAACGCACAGGAAGUAAAAAGAAAUUUGAAUUCGUAUGAAUUGAUCACCAUUGCAUCGACAGUAAUAUAAAAAUAGCAGUCAAAGUUGCCUCGUGUAAGAUGGCUUCCUAUAUGGAUGCCUAAGAAAAGGAAACUUUAGAAAUUCACGUUAUUGUUAUCAAUUGGAAUGCCUGAGCACUAUGCUUUAAGGCUAGUUUCUACUCAGGAAAAUUAUCCGUGGAUUGGAACAGACAAGAAAAUUUUUCUUUGUCUUGUGAGCUCUGGGUUGGAAUGAC